CCUACGGGUGGCUGCAGUCUAGAGGCUUCGACAAUGCCCGAAAGGGUGAUCGAGCGACGCCGCGUGCGGGAUGAAGGCCUUCGGGUUGUAAACCGCUUUUGUUCAAGGUGAAGGUGUGGGUCGUGAACCCAUGCUUGACGGUACUGAAAGAAUAAGCCCCGGCUAACUCCGUGCCAGCAGCCGCGGUAAGACGGAGGGGGCGAGCGUUGUUCGGAAUUAUUGGGCGUAAAGGGCGCGUAGGCUGAUCGUUAAGUCUGAUGUGAAAUGUUCACCGC
rnacentral:rRNA from 1 species